GUGAGACUUACUGUUUCAGUCUUUCCCAAAUGAUGUCAUAAAAUGAGAACAAUUCAUACGUUCAAUAGGGGAGUGGAUCUGUGUUUUGAUACUUGGCAGCUGAUAAGACAAAUGCUUGCUUGUAUCUAGAAAUCAGAUUUUUCCAUGUCUUUCUAGUCCCUUUACUGAGGACAUUACCUCACAGUCCACAAGGCAUGAGUGUAAGUGAAGAGAAUGAGUCCCAGAAAUCCUUCCAUCCAUUCCCAAUAUAAAUAAAGUACAUUAACAAGUCAUUCUUUUUCCUCUCAGUGCUGCUGAAAACAAAUUCACCAGAUCAUUUAAGUGGUUUUCUUUGUACUACCUCUGUUCUUUUUACAUAGACAGCACAUGAAGGAAAGUAUCGCUCCUGGACCUGAUACUUACAAACAAGGAAGAACUUGUUGGCAUGUGAAAGCCAGAGAUUGCAGUGCUGAUGCUCAAGAUCCUGAAAGGAGGGAGUAGGGCAAGUGGUAGGUCUGCGAUCCUGGUUUUCUGGAGAGCAGAUUUUGGUCUCUUCACGGACCUGCUUGGGAGAAUCCCAAGGGAUAUAGUCUGAGAGAGAAGAGGGGUUCAGGAGAGCUGGUUGAUAUUCAAGGAUCACUUCCUCCAAAGCUCAAGAAAGAGUUGUUCU